rnacentral:rRNA from 1 species
UACGUAGGUGGCAAGCGUUGUCCGGAUUUACUGGGCGUAAAGGGCGUGCAGGCGGUUUGUUAAGUUCAGGGUGAAAGCUCCCGGCUCAACUGGGAGAGGUCCUUGGAUACUGGCAGACUUGAGGAGGGUAGAGGAGAGUGGAAUUCCCGGUGUAGUGGUGAUAUGCGUAGAUAUCGGGAGGAACACCAGUGGCGAAGGCGGCUCUCUGGGCCCUACCUGACGCUGGAGACGCGAAAGCGUGGGGAGCGAACCGG